rnacentral:sRNA from 22 species
CAAUAGCCCCGAUCGAAGUGAUAUCCUUUUCAUGCUUCUUUAGCAGGAAAGAUAUAACGAAGAGCGGGACUAAAG